rnacentral:rRNA from 1 species
UACGAAGGGGGCUAGCGUUGUUCGGAAUUACUGGGCGUAAAGCGCGCGCAGGCGGUCUUCCAAGUCAGUGGUGAAAGCCCGGAGCUCAACUCCGGAACUGCCAUUGAAACUGUUGGACUUGAGUACGAGAGAGGUGAGUGGAAUUCCCAAUGUAGAGGUGAAAUUCGUAGAUAUUGGGAAGAACACCGGUGGCGAAGGCGGCUCACUGGCUCGUAACUGACGCUCAGGCGCGACAGCGUGGGGGAUCAAACAGG